rfam:Rhodoferax ferrireducens T118, complete genome.
CGGGGCGUAGCGCAGCCUGGUAGCGCAUCUGGUUUGGGACCAGAGGGUCGAAGGUUCGAAUCCUUUCGCCCCGA